GUGCGGUCACAAAAAGCGACGCUUUUUGAACGUUGACUUUGCCGACGCUGGCGAAGCCAUAAGUAAUCGCACCGGCGAUUACGCAUAAAAAAUCCGUGUU
rnacentral:ncRNA from 1 species